rnacentral:rRNA from 1 species
UACAGAGGUCUCAAGCGUUGUUCGGAUUCAUUGGGCGUAAAGGGUGCGUAGGUGGCAUGGUAAGUCGGAUGUGAAAUCCCGGGGCUCAACCCCGGAACUGCACUCGAUACUGCGUGACUAGGGUGCUGGAGAGGAGACUGGAAUUUACGGUGUAGCAGUGAAAUGCGUAGAUAUCGUAAGGAAGACCAGUGGCGAAGGCGAGUCUCUGGACAGCUACCGACGCUGAGGCACGAAGGCCAGGGGAGCAAACGGG